GCCCGAGUGGCGGAAUGGCAGACGCGUCGCACUCAAAAUGCGAUAUCGAGAGAUGUGUGGGUUCGAGUCCCACCUCGGGCACCA
rnacentral:tRNA from 1 species